GUACACAAAAAUGCACAUACUGUGAGCUCGAUGAGUAGGGCGGGACACGUGGUAUCCUGUCUGAAUAUGGGGGGACCAUCCUCCAAGGCUAAAUACUCCUGACUGACCGAUAGUGAACCAGUACCGUGAGGGAAAGGCGAAAAGAACCCCGGCGAGGGGAGUGAAAAAGAACCUGAAACCGUGUACGUACAAGCAGUGGGAGCCUCUUAAUGGGGUGACUGCGUACCUUUUGUAUAAUGGGUCAGCGACUUAUAUUCUGUAGCAAGGUUAACCGAAUAGGGGAGCCGAAGGGAAACCGAGUCUUAACUGGGCGUUAAGUUGCAGGGUAUAGACCCGAAACCCGGUGAUCUAGCCAUGGGCAGGUUGAAGGUUGGGUAACACUAACUGGAGGACCGAACCGACUAAUGUUGAAAAAUUAGCGGAUGACUUGUGGCUGGGGGUGAAAGGCCAAUCAAACCGGGAGAUAGCUGGUUCUCCCCGAAAGCUAUUUAGGUAGCGCCUCGUGAAUUCAUCUCCGGGGGUAGAGCACUGUUUCGGCAAGGGGGUCAUCCCGACUUACCAACCCGAUGCAAACUGCGAAUACCGGAGAAUGUUAUCACGGGAGACACACGGCGGGUGCUAACGUCCGUCGUGAAGAGGGAAACAACCCAGACCGCCAGCUAAGGUCCCAAAGUCAUGGUUAAGUGGGAAACGAUGUGGGAAGGCCCAGACAGCCAGGAUGUUGGCUUAGAAGCAGCCAUCAUUUAAAGAAAGCGUAAUAGCUCACUGGUCGAGUCGGCCUGCGCGGAAGAUGUAACGGGGCUAAACCAUGCAC
rnacentral:rRNA from 1 species